AACGCUAGCUACAGGCUUAACACAUGCAAGUCGAGGGGAAACGACAUCGAAAGCUUGCUUUUGAUGGGCGUCGACCGGCGCACGGGUGAGUAACGCGCAUCCAACCUGCCCACCACUUGGGGAUAACCUUGCGAAAGUAAGACUAAUACCCAAUGACGUCUCUAGGAGACAUCUGAAAGAGAUUAAAGAUUUAUCGGUGAUGGAUGGGGAUGCGUCUGAUUAGCUUGUUGGCGGGGUAACGGCCCACCAAGGCGACGAUCAGUAGGGGUUCUGAGAGGAAGGUCCCCCACAUUGGAACUGAGACACGGUCCAAACUCCUACGGGAGGCAGCAGUGAGGAAUAUUGGUCAAUGGACGAGAGUCUGAACCAGCCAAGUAGCGUGCAGGAUGACGGCCCUAUGGGUUGUAAACUGCUUUUAUAAGGGAAUAAAGUGGGAGUCGUGACUCUUUUUGCAUGUACCUUAUGAAUAAGGACCGGCUAAUUCCGUGCCAGCAGCCGCGGUAAUACGGAAGGUUCGGGCGUUAUCCGGAUUUAUUGGGUUUAAAGGGAGCGUAGGCCGGAGAUUAAGCGUGUUGUGAAAUGUAGAUGCUCAACAUCUGAACUGCAGCGCGAACUGGUUUCCUUGAGUACGCACAAAGUGGGCGGAAUUCGUGGUGUAGCGGUGAAAUGCUUAGAUAUCACGAAGAACUCCGAUUG
rnacentral:rRNA from 1 species